UACGGAGGAUCCAAGCGUUAUCCGGAAUCAUUGGGUUUAAAGGGUCCGUAGGCGGUUUAAUAAGUCAGUGGUGAAAGCCCAUCGCUCAACGGUGGAACGGCCAUUGACUACUGUUAAACUUGAAUUAUUAGGAAGUAACUAGAAUAUGUAGUGUAGCGGUGAAAUGCUUAGAGAUUACAUGGAAUACCAAUUGCGAAGGCAGGUUACUACUAAUGGAUUGACGCUGAUGGACGAAAGCGUGGGUAGCGAACAGG
rnacentral:rRNA from 1 species